rnacentral:rRNA from 1 species
GCAUAUCAAUAAGCGGAGGAAAAGAAACUAACAAGGAUUCCCCUAGUAACUGCGAGUGAAGCGGGAAAAGCUCAAAUUUAAAAUCUGGCAGUCUUUGGCUGUCCGAGUUGUAAACUAGAGAAGUGUUACCCGCGUCGGACCGUGUACAAGUCUCCUGGAAUGGAGCAUCAUAGAGGGUGAGAAUCCCGUCUUUGACAUGGACUACCGAGGCUUUUGUGGUGCGCUCUCAACGAGUCGAGUUGUUUGGGAAUGCAGCUCAAAAUGGGUGGUAAAUUCCAUCUAAAGCUAAAUAUUGGCGAGAGACCGAUAGCGAACAAGUACCGUGAGGGAAAGAUGAAAAGAACUUUGGAAAGAGAGUUAAACAGUACGUGAAAUUGCUGAAAGGGAAACGCUUGAAGUCAGUCGCGUUGGCCGGAAAUCAACCCUGCUUCUGUUGGGUGUACUUUCUGGUUGACGGGCCAGCAUCAGUUUUGACCGGUGGAAAAAGUCCAAGGGAAUGUGGCAUCUCCGGAUGUGUUAUAGCCCUUGGUCGUAUACAUCGGUUGGGACUGAGGAAUUCAGCACGCCGCAAGGCCGGGUUUCGACCACGUUCGUGCUUAGGAUGCUGGCAUAAUGGCUUUAAUCGACCCGUCUUGAAACACGGACC